rnacentral:rRNA from 1 species
GAUGAACGCUGGCGGCGUGCCUAAUACAUGCAAGUCGAGCGAAUGGAUUAAGAGCUUGCUCUUAUGAAGUUAGCGGCGGACGGGUGAGUAACACGUGGGUAACCUGCCCAUAAGACUGGGAUAACUCCGGGAAACCGGGGCUAAUACCGGAUAACAUUUUGAACCGCAUGGUCCGAAAUUGAAAGGCGGCUUCGGCUGUCACUUAUGGAUGGACCCGCGUCGCAUUAGCUAGUUGGUGAGGUAACGGCUCACCAAGGCAACGAUGCGUAGCCGACCUGAGAGGGUGAUCGGCCACACUGGGACUGAGACACGGCCCAGACUCCUACGGGAGGCAGCAGUAGGGAAUCUUCCGCAAUGGACGAAAGUCUGACGGAGCAACGCCGCGUGAGUGAUGAAGGCUUUCGGGUCGUAAAACUCUGUUGUUAGGGAAGAACAAGUGCUGGUUGAAUAAGCUGGCACCUUGACGGUACCUAACCAGAAAGCCACGGCUAACUACGUGCCAGCAGCCGCAGUAA